GCUACUGUAUCCUGUUGUGUGUAUUCGCUUGUCAUUCUGCUUUUGGAAAAUGGGAGAGAUCUGUAAUUGAAUGAGAUAUUGUCCCAAGAGAUAUACACCUGAAGGACAAGUUCAUAAAGCAUUUCACAGCAGGACCAGUCAAGUUCUCAUCGGAAUGCAGAACACAUUUUCAUAGACUCUACCACAACACAAGAGAUUGUUCAACACCAGCAUACUACAAAAGAUGUGCCAGAUUGCUAACACGGC